UACAGGGGGUGCAAGCGUUGCUCGGAAUUAUUGGGCGUAAAGGGUAUGUAGGUGGUCUCAUUUGUCUAGGGUGAAAUCCUUGGGCUUAACUCAAGAAGUGCCCUAGAAACGGUGAGACUGGAGUCCUGGAGAGGGUCGUGGAAUUCCCGGUGUAGCGGUGAAAUGCGUAGAGAUCGGGAGGAACACCAGAGGCGAAGGCGGCGACCUGGACAGGUACUGACACUCAACUACGAAAGCGUGGGGAGCAAACAGG
rnacentral:rRNA from 1 species